CAGUCGCCGCGGGAAUACGAAGGGUGCAAGCGUUACUCGGAAUUACUGGGCGUAAAGCGUGCGUAGGUGGUGGUUUAAGUCCGUUGUGAAAGCCCUGGGCUCAACCUGGGAAUUGCAGUGGAUACUGGGUCACUAGAGUGUGGUAGAGGAUAGUGGAAUUUCCGGUGUAGCAGUGAAAUGCGUAGAGAUCGGAAGGAACAUCUGUGGCGAAGGCGACUAUCUGGGCCAACACUGACACUGAGGCACGAAAGCGUGGGGAGCAAACAGGAUUAGAUACCCGAGUAGUCCCUGUCUCUUAUAC
rnacentral:rRNA from 1 species